UACGUAGGGUGCAAGCGUUAAUCGGAAUUACUGGGCGUAAAGCGUGCGCAGGCGGUGAUGUAAGACAGUUGUGAAAUCCCCGGGCUCAACCUGGGAACUGCAUCUGUGACUGCAUCGCUGGAGUGCGGCAGAGGGGGAUGGAAUUCCGCGUGUAGCAGUGAAAUGCGUAGAUAUCUGGAGGAAUACCGGUGGCGAAGGCGGCAUCCUGGACCGGCAUUGACGCUGAGGAGCGAAAGCCAGGGGAGCAAACGGG
rnacentral:rRNA from 1 species